UACGAAGGGGGCUAGCGUUGCUCGGAAUUAUUGGGCGUAAAGAGCUCGUAGGCGGUCUGUCGCGUCUGCUGUGAAAUCCCGAGGCUCAACCUCGGGCCUGCAGUGGGUACGGGCAGACUAGAGUGCGGUAGGGGAGAUUGGAAUUCCUGGUGUAGCGGUGGAAUGCGCAGAUAUCAGGAGGAACACCGAUGGCGAAGGCAGAUCUCUGGGCCGUAACUGACGCUGAGGAGCGAAAGCGUGGGGAGCAAACAGG
rnacentral:rRNA from 1 species